GGAGAGAUGGCAGAGUGGUCGAAUGCACCGGUCUUGAAAACCGGCGUGCGUGAAAGCGUACCGUGGGUUCGAAUCCCACCUCCUCCGCCA
rnacentral:tRNA from 1 species